GUAAGUCGAGGCGGCCGGCGCCGCCAGGGCAAGGACACGGGCGGGGGCGCUGGGGCCAGGAACACCCGAGAGCCCCGGGCUGCACCAGGGCUUUUCCGUGCUCAAGGACCCAGCCUGGGCGGCGCGAGCGCAACAAUCAAGCGCCCGGAGCCGGGAAUGUGCCCAUCCUCGAGCCGGUAGGUGCUUCGAAAUACGGGACUUUCUCCCCUUUCCCUCUUUCCUAAAUCCGAAAAUCUGGAGAUCAAAGUUUAGCGUGGAGUGUAAAGUGCUUCGAUAAAAUACAGUGACAUCCCUCGCUCUCCUUUUCACCCCUCUCCCCCUUAUAACUAUUAAUUAUUUCCAAGUCAUUGUGUCCAAAUACCCUUGCUUGGCUGAUUACAAAGUGUAUUGAUUUAGUCUGGGCUCAUCCUACGCUUUCGUCUUAAUUCAUUUUCUUUUUGCUCAACCAGAUGACCCAAAAUGAAACUUAUUUCUUCCUCUUCUCUUCCUCCCCACCCCCAAACCCUCAUCUGUGAGGCUUGAGUAGACUACUGAAAUUAAUAUAAACAUUUCAUUUGGUGGCGUUGGAACUUCUAGUCCAUUUCUAAGAGGCUGCCUUGCUCCCCUGUCCACUCGCAGGGUUAUCACAGUACAGUGAAAGAAACCAACUAUUCAAGUUAACAGUUCCAAAUUAAGCGGUUUAUAUUGCUGGAGAUAUAUCUGUAAGAUAUUGUAUUUAUAUUUAAAUUCUGGAGUAUAAACUGUAUAGCACACUUUCUUACCCUAGCUAUGAACUAUCCUCAAAUUAAAUGUCACUUUAAAUUAAGUAGAACAAAGUAGGAAAUAGGACAAGUAAAUACAUAUAGAAGAAUAAAAAUAAUUGUCAUGUAAAGCUUGUAUUUUUAAUUAACAAGUGUCGAUCACAUAGUAAGCACUUUGUUUUUUUAUAAGCCAGAGUUUCAUAACCAUGGUGCACACCAUGUUUCAAAGUCUAGCUUUUAUUGGCUAUACCUUUAUUGUAUAAUUAAGCAUUGUAAGUUAAGCACACACAUGGAUGCUAUUAGGCAAUUUUCUGCAACAUGUAAUGUUUUUAAAAAGCUAUAAAUAAUUUUCUAGUUAAAUCAUUUGUACCAACAAUAGCAAAAGUUAACUGAGUUAAUAUUAGGCAUUUGCGUGGUUUUUUCUGUUACUACAUUUUUCCUUGGUUUUCUUAACAGGAGACUCCUGACUUUGUACAUUUAUAUUCUUAAGCUUUGUUGAGGGGUAUUGUGUUUUCAGCAGUUGUUUAAAUUAACAGAAGAAUUGGGAUAUUUCCCAAACAAAUAUAUCUAUACCAACAACAUGGGUGAUGCCAAAAUUAAGAAAGAGAAAGGAGAAUAUAGCAGAUGUGACAACUUCUUUUGAACCUAGCUUCCUCUUUGGAGCUCUUCUUAUUGUGCAUAUUUGGUUUUCAUGUUUUAGUUAAGAUUCAGGCUCAAUUUUGAAACACUUUAUCUUGUUAGAAUCUGCAUCACAAAAAGUAUGGGUUUUCCAACAAGGCUGGGUAUAGUUUUUAAAGGGCUCUUCAAUUUUUAGUGGAUAUGCCAAGACUGUUUACAGGACACAGCAAGAGUUUUGUGUUUUAAAAAUAAUUUUAGACACACAUCACUAAAAAUUUAAAUAGAUUGCAGGCUGUCAGAAAAUAGUAUAAAUUUUGUUUAUGAUUCAGUUACUUUAAGGUACUUACAUUAAAGCAACUCAUUUAACCCCUGACUGAAGAGCAUUAAGUGGGGAGGAAAACCCUCCAAAGAGCUCCCACUGCCCUUUGCUCUCCCGAUAAUCUUAAAUUACUACAGUUUAAUUGCAACUUCAAGGCAGAGUAUGAGCUGUUUCUGUAGGACAGAGAAAGGGUUUCCAAAGCAUAGCUUGAUUUGCACAGGUGGUAUUUUUUUUCUAAUAAUUUUUGCUAAGGGCUUUUUCCUUUCCUUUCUUAUCCUGUUAGAUGUCAUACUCCUUUUAUAGUUUUCAGUUAUAGUAAAUGCCAUUUUUUGCUAAGCCAGCAGUACUGGCCUUUUUUUUAAAAAAGUAUGUUUUUGAGUCUAGUCUUUUGAAAGCCCCAGGCAGGUAGGGGUUUGUUUUCUAAAGAAAAUAACCCCUGGAAAGGCAUCUGCUAAAUAGACAGGUGAACUUUAUACACAAGACUGUGUAUCCUUUUAGUAUUUGCAAGGGAUUUUUUUUUUUAAAUUGACGGUAGUAAAUCUCACCAGGUGAUCAAACAUUGAACUUGUGAAACCAGCCAGCAAGCCAAAUAAGUUUGCACUUGGGGCCAUGAAUUUUCUAUAAAUGAUCUUUCCUGUGACUUGCUACCCAAAUCUGCAGGCCACUUUAGUUAUGUGUGCGCCAUCCAGAAAGCCAUCUUAAACUGAUUUUUAAAACUGUCGUGUCUGGUACUCGGAUGAAUUAAAGUUAGAGAUGCCAAAAGCUGGGCUGGCACAGGCCAUGUGAUGAGGCAGGUUCCUGAAACAGACAAACCUGUUCAUACUUGGGGUAUCAUAUGCCUGACAGUUCCCACUCUCCAGGACUUUUAUAGUUUCUUUCAGUGUGCAUGUGACCAUGUGCUUAAUGGAAAUUAGGCAGAUUUAGCUUGUGUUGCCACCCUAAAAAUAAAUGUAAAAAAUGUUUGAUUUUAAGAAGUGCUUUGGUUUUGCAUCCCGUAGAUAAUAUGGGUGCACUAAAGGCUCCAAAGGUGAUACUCUGUAAAGAGGAAAUAUGAGGGAUGUGGGGGAGAGCGCAUGUCGAUUGGGAAAAACAACUAGACAGUGGGCUUUGUUUCUUUAGUAAAUUAAUGUCUUAGCUAGUUUCUGCGAAGGCAGUUUUCAAGCCUUGUUUAGAAGGCAGCUUCCAUUCAUGAGACUGUUGUGCUGAAAGCUGUGUCUUUUUUUCCUCCUACACUCUUACUUUGCCCAGUUGUGAAAUCUAUUGACCAGACUGGCUGGUGGCUGUCUGUGCAAGCUUGUCUUUCUUUUCGCAGUCCCCUGAUGCCUGUUUUAAUGUCCUGCCUCUUGUGCACAACAGGUGUUUGUUUGGUCGUUAUUUUAUGGAAGAAAAAUGGUUCCUAUCUGGCAACCACUAGGAGAGAUAGCUGCCGAAGGGAAGAACACCUGAACCAGGUGUAAAUGGCCUGUCCUUAUGAGUAUCUCCAAGCUGCUCUCUUGUUAAAAGGGGUGCUCAUUUUACUGCCAUGAAAUUUACAAGAUUCUUGCGAGAGUGCGCAGGGCGGUGGGAGCUUUUCACUGGUUUUGGUCUUCAUGCUUAAAGCUGCUCAGUUGUGGGGUUAAAUUAGUUUCUUCAAUCCAAGUACUUAAAGUAACUAAAUCGUAAACAAAAUUUAUAUUAGAUCCUGACAACUAAUAAUCUAUUUAAAUUACAUUAAAGUAUCUGAGCAAAAAUUUAAUUAAAGAUAGAAGUACUGUCAAGCCCUGUAAAUAUCUUGACAGGUCUACUCAAAUGGAACUGAUAUCACGAGAUAUUUACAUAUGUCUGGUGUGUUCGAGAACAUCUCAGCAGUGCCUGUGUGAAGCUAAUUGCACUUUCUUUCCAAAUCACAUUUUUAAUAAAAUAGGUUUUUUUAAAAAAAAAAAAAUAGAAUAUGAGUAAGUACAAAAUUGUGUUCCAUUGUUCUGUUUACUAUUUUGUUCUCUAUACUCAGGAUCAUUCUGUGAUGAAUUUAUUUCCUCAAACUGCUGCUAAUUCAGGCAGCUGAGAUGGAGGGAAUCACUGAAAAGAAAACUCACGUCCUUCUGUUUUGGUUUUCAGGCAUUAGAGGCUCGCAUCUUACAGUGCAGUUCACUCAGGAACAGUCAGUGGGUCAGAGCAUGGUGUUGUUGGGUCCCUGUUUAUGUUAGAAUAAAUCCUUUUAGGAUGGGACAAAGAUUUAUAUUUGGGUAUGUAUUUAUUUAUUACUAGUAAAUGAAGUGGACAUCCACAUUUUGCCAGAUUCUCUGAUUUGAGCUAAUUUUGUGAUCUGCUUUGUUUACUAGGACACUGAGUAGUAUUUCUCGCAUCAUUCUCCAAACUGAAUUCCUGAGGUGUCUUCCUCUCCCUCUCAGCCGUGCAUUUGAAUCAUAAUGUGGCUUUCUGUGCUCUAGGUUCCUGCCUGUGAAUUAGGGGUUAUAUUUGAAGGUGUGAGCUUAGUGAUACAGGGGUACAGGGGCGUGUCAUCACUCAGCUUGAGUUUUCUACAGCCCCAGUGUCUGUCCCCUGAGUUGGCAAUGCCUGACCAGAGAGUGCUGGUGCCUUUCCUGCUGGGACCAGUUGAACACAGGGUGAGGUGGAGACUGGUGCUUGUGUCUGAGGUGAGGGGAGGUUGCAGGUGGUCCUUAUUCAGCACUCUUAAGCGUGAGGUCCUCUGCUCACCUGCAUCCAGAUCUGUGUGUUUCGUGUGUGUGUGUGUGUG
rnacentral:lncRNA from 1 species